rnacentral:rRNA from 1 species
GAUGAACGCUGGCGGCGUGCCUAAUACAUGCAAGUCGAGCGAAGCGGGGACGGGUGAGUAACACGUGGAUAACCUCCUAUAAGACUGGGUUAACUUCGGGAAACCGGAGCUAAACCGGAUACUCAGAGAUGGAUCCGCGCUGCAUUGGCUAGUUGGUAAGGUAACGGCUUACCAAGGCAACGAUGCAUAGCCGACCUGAGAGGGUGAUCGGCCACACGGGAACUGAGACACGGUCCAGACUCCUACGGGAGGCAGCAGUAGGGAAUCUUCCGCAAUGGGCGAAAGCCUGACGGAGCAACGCCGCGUGAGUGAAGAAGGUUUUCGGAUCGUAAAACUCUGUUAUUAGGGAAGCGGUACCUAACCAGAAAGCCACGGCUAACUACGUGCCAGCAGCCGCGGUAAUAC